UACGGGAGGCAGCAGUGGGGAAUAUUGCACAAUGGGCGCAAGCCUGAUGCAGCCAUGCCGCGUGUAUGAAGAAGGCCUUCGGGUUGUAAAGUACUUUCAGUCGUGAGGAAGGUGUUAAGGUUAAUAACCUUAGCAAUUGACGUUAGCGACAGAAGAAGCACCGGCUAACUCCGUGCCAGCAGCCGCGGUAAUACGGAGGGUGCGAGCGUUAAUCGGAAUUACUGGGCGUAAAGGGCACGCAGGCGGUUAAUUAAGUUGGAUGUGAAAUCCCCGGGCUUAACCUGGGAAUGGCAUUCAAGACUGGUUAGCUAGAGUCUUGUAGAGGGGGUAGAAUUCCAUGUGUAGCGGUGAAAUGCGUAGAGAUGUGGAGGAAUACCGGUGGCGAAGGCGGCCCCCUGGACAAAGGACUGACGCUCAUGUGCGAAAGCGUGGGGAGCGAAACAGGGAUUAGAUACC
rnacentral:rRNA from 1 species